rnacentral:rRNA from 1 species
AUUGAACGCUGGCGGCAGGCCUAACACAUGCAAGUCGAACGAGUGGCGGACGUGUGUGUAAUGUCUGGGAAACUGCCCGAUGGAGGGGGAUAACUACUAGAAACGGUAGCUAAUACCGCAUACCAUCGGAUGUGCCCAGAUGGGAUUAGCUAGUAGGUGGGGUAACGGCUCACCUAGGCAACUAUCCCUAGCUGGUCUGAGAGGAUGACCGGCCAAACUGGAACUGAGACACGGUCCAGACUCCUACGGGAGGCAGCAGUGGGGAAUAUUGCACAAUGGGCGAAAGCCUGAUGAAGCAAUGCCGCGUGGAUGAAGAAGGCCUUCGGGUUGUAAAGGACUUUCAGCGAGGAGGCGUUACUCGCAGAAGAAGCACCGGCUAACUCCGUGCCAGCAGCCGCGGUAAUUC